UACGGAGGGGGCAAGCGUUACUCGGAAUUAUUGGGCGUAAAGGGCGCGUAGGCGGUCGUGUGCGUCGAGGGUGAAAUCCCCGGGCUUAACCCGGGAGCUGCCUUCGAUACGGCACGGCUUGAGUCCGGGAGAGGGGAGCAGAAUUCCCAGUGUAGCGGUGAAAUGCGUAGAUAUUGGGAGGAAUACCGGUGGCGAAGGCGGCAUCCUGGACCGAGAUUGACGCUGAUGAGCGAAAGCUAGGGGAGCAAACGGG
rnacentral:rRNA from 1 species